CAGCUUUUGGCCCACGCGUUUCGAAAUGCCCGCCCGAGACCUGCGCACCCCACCCCUCUCCAUGACUCGCCAUCGGUCCCCAGGGCGGCCAUGGUCACCCGUGGAGAGCGUGAGAUCGCUGAGCUGCCCUUGGCCUCCGCGACUGUCCGCGGAGGCUUGCUGACCACCACGUUAGACCAUGGAUACUGGAGGUACCUUCCCACAGCUGUACGGUGCUCCCAGUCCACAAAGGGGGCUGCAGACUUCAGUCAGAAGCCAUCCUGGAAUGCGUUUGAAUAGGCUUAAGGAGGAAAGCGAAGGCCAAGGAAACACGUGAGCAGCGGGUGCUGGGUACCCAGCUGUGCCCUUUAGUCCACACUGGGUUGGCACCCUAGCCAAGCAGUUUACAGAUGAAGAAACAAACUGAGCAAGGGAAUGGACCUUCCCAGCCCCAUUACAGAUGGAGAGGGGAGAGGAGGGCCAGGCAGGGGUCAUCUUACAGACACCCCAGAACAAGUGGGCAAACCUUCCUUCUGGUCCCUCCUGGCACUUGGAGGUGACCUUUCCCCCGGCUGCUUCCAGAAGUCACUGUUGGAGCAGAUUUGUAGCUAGUGGAUCUGGAUCCCCCUGACCAAGGAUCUGGGGACCCUCUCUCCAGGUCAAUGUCCAGGACCCAGUAGCUUAACUGAGUCUUGACUGGAGCUCUUGAAGUAGGCCUGUACUGAGAGGAAGGUCAGUUCAUAGAAGCUAUGCCUGCUGUUGCAUUCCACAGCCAGGGCUAUUGUGGGCAGAGGAGGUGGCUGUUUGCUCCUUCAAAGGAGAAGAGACAGGUCAGUAAAGUUGAUUGCUCUCAUCUUGGCUGUGCAGGGCAGUGGCAGGCUCUGCCAGGGCACUUCUGCUGGCCCUGGGUCUUGCAUUCCCCACACUCUGGGUCCAAUAUGUCACAUCCCUGGGGGAAAGUGCAGCCAAAGAUCAGAUGCUUGGAAACAGAUGUGUGGCUGAGUGGCUUUAGCCCACAGGGAAGGUGUCCUGGCUCUUCAGAACCCCACACCAGUCCAGGGCAUCCUGCUUAAAGCUGAGUCAGACCAGGACCCCUAACUUCAGAGCCUUUCAAGGGCAUCCAGUUCACUCAGAGUAAGUAUAACCCAAGCUUUCUCAGCCUUCUUCAAUCUCUUCCACAUCUCUUCAUUCUAUUCCUGACCUCCUCCUCUUCUCUACUCCUUGCUCAGGUUACCACAAGGGCUCAGAUUUGCCAGACCCCAGCUCAGGACCUUUGCACAUUCUGUUCCCUCUGCCUGGGUAUACUCCUCCCGGAAGAUUCUCAUGGCUUCCUCCUUCCGGCUCUGUUCAGGCGGUAUCUUCAAGCGGGGGUGGGGGGGGGUGCAUUCACUACACAAUCCAAAAUGUCACCACAUACCACUUCGAAGCCCCUGUGUUCCUAUCCUGUUUAACAUUUCUUCUGGGUUCUUACUAUCUACCUUCUCUUAUUACAUAUUUUACACCUUAUUCUGUUUACUGGUCUCUUCCGAGAAUGUAAGCUCCACCAAACAGUGACUUCUGUGUAUUUGUACUCUGCACAGGCCCACAACAAGUGCCCACAUGUGGAAUUACUAAGUUCAGAAAGACAUAAGCAAAUAGUUUGGGAGAAGUAAAGUGGGGUUGGGGCUGGGGAGAUGGCUCAGUGGAUAGAGCAUUUGCCAUUCAAGCAAGAGGCCUGAAGUUCUCAUUCCCAGCUCUCCUAUAAAAGCCAAGCAGGCACCUGUACUCCUAGCAUGGGAGGCAGAGACAGGAUCCCUAGAGCAAGCUGGCUCGCUACCUGACUAGCUGGAAUUGGUGAGGGCCAGGCCCAUAGAGAGACCCUGCCUCAAAGAAUAAAGUGGAGCAAGACUGAGGAAGACACUCAACAUCAGUUUCAGGUCUCCACAUGUGUCCAUACAUAUGUGUACACAUGCAUGCCCCCACAUAGGCAAACACAUAUGUACACAUAUGCAGAAAAGAAAUGCUGAAAGAAAGAAGGAAAUUAGCUAAAGUUUCAGGGACUUACCCUAAACAAGUAGUCCCUAGGGAAAUUUCCUUGUGAGACACCCAGAAAACUCCCAUGAUUCCUUCCAUAGUGUCUGCUGUGCUCCCUGCCUGGCUGCCCCCCCAGUAUCCCAGGCCUGGUAAUCCAUCCAUCCUCAGACAGUAGCUCAGAGUUAACCUUCUUACAGCCAAGUUCCCUCCCCAAACCUAGAUCCUACCCCAACCUAGAUGCCUCUAUGUGUCCAUCACAGUGCAGGGCCCAGAUUAGAGUCUGGAUGCAAAAUGUUUGUAUGACUGAAUGAACAAGGAUAUGGGCAUCCUGGUUACCUGAAGGCCUGUGUGAGCAACUGCAGACACAUUUCUACCAUGUUGUGUCUAGACAGAAAAGCUCCCCAGCAGAGCCAGAAGGCUUCCCCCUCGCCCCAGUAUUAGGCUAGACUCCAGGGCCUCAGGCAUGCUAAAUGAACUCUCUACUAUGAAGGUACAUUCCUUUUCUUGCUAGAAAAGAUGGGGAAAGCCUGAUGGUACUCUUCAAAACAGAGAUAGCCAAGGAAAAGAUUUCUCUUCACAGCAGUGAACAAAUCUCAUGUACUUUUCCUUCAAAGAAAUCUCUUCCCAAUUUCUACAUAAUCAUCAUAGAAAAGACCCAAAAGGAUAUGAACUUUCUAGUCUCUGGGAACUUCAAACUUCUGGAACAAUUUUUUUUUUUUUUUUUUUUUUUUGUAAAUCCU